rnacentral:rRNA from 1 species
UGGUGGAGUGAUUUGUCUGGUUAAUUCCAUUAACGAACAAGACCCCGGCCUGCUAAAUAGGCAUGCAAAUGAAUGUUCAUUGGCAGCACCUUCUUAGAGGGAUGUGUGUUCUAUUAGACGCAGGAAGAUAGGGGCGAUAACA